GGGGGGGUCCCUUAAGGAAACCCAGGCCCCCACGGGUUCCGCGGCUCCAGGACUCUGCCGCGGGGGACCGAGCGACGAGCGAGGCGGAGGGUGGACAGAGCGGCUGGAGUUUGACCCGGCCGGACCUUAGACCCGAGAUCGAGGAGAGGCCGCCAGGACUGUCCGGGGACGGCUGCAGCUUCUCCCCCGCCCGCUGCGGCCGUCUCCAAAGCCCGGCGUUAUUUCCUGCCGGUCCUGUCGGGAGCGAUUUGAGGAACCAACUUCACAGCUGGGCUUUGAGGGCGAGACGCUCCCAGGGUUUGCCUGCGGCUCCGUCGCGGGCACCCGUGGAGCCUGGGCGACUGCGCCUGGGCCGGAGGCAGAGCGGGGAGAUGUUUGGGGGCCCCUCGUCAAGAUGAAUCAGCGUGACCGUCCCAUCACCCUCGGAAAAAAACGUUUCAAGAAAGCGUGGAAGGUGUGGUUUGUGCAAAGUGAAGUUUGUGACAAACGGGCUGUGCUCUCAUGAGAUGGUGGACGGGGCAGGUUGUUACAGGGUCAAGUCAGACCUGAGCUCAGACUCUGGCACUUGCGUUUAUAAACUGUAUGAUCGUGAGGAAAUGGCUCUAGUUUUCUGGGUUUCAGUGGUGCCAUCUGUAAAAUGCAGGCUUUGAGAGAUGGACCUCUGACCAAAAAGACUGUCUUCGUUGUGGUCGCUCCUAUUUUGUGAAAGGGUGGCAAGAAACAUUUUAUCCAGAAACCACCAAGGGAAAAGGAAAUAAUCUUUGGCCACAAACAGAGGGUAGCUUUCCGUUCACAGUGAAGGCAUUCCGCCUGAUCUGUUCCAAGAUAGGUUGGAAAAAAGGUCAGAAGGGACAUUUUAUUCCCAAUGUCUUAUCAGCUGUGCUGAGAAGAAAGCAAAAACUACAUUCUAAUAAAACAAGGACAAGAGUUUCUAUAAAGUGUAGGGCCUAGCCAGGAGGACCUCAGGGAGUAAAAGGUAAGGCUUCAAAAGGGCGGCAAAGAUGAAGAUUUGGAGAAAUUCCAUCCAUGUGCGUGUUUGAAAAAUGUCAAAGGAAAAGGUAAGCCCUGUCCUCCCAUAAAGACUUCAUGCAGAACAGAGCUUUGAGCUGAGACUUGUGGGAAGCAUCCAAUUUGUAAAAAUGGAGAAGAAAGUGGAAAGCUGGAACAUCACCCCAGCCUACAGUUUAAUUAUGGUUGUUGCAGUCAAGAAUCAUCAAUGGAUGCUAAAGUUAGGCGUUGACAGUAUGAUGCGAGAAAGGAUAUUUACAUGACCUCAAAGUCUCUCCCUGGAAGAUACUAUUUUCCUUUGAAAUCUGUAACUGUACAGCAGAGAAACCUUUGGGACAGCACCGGACAGCACGUACCUUCUGAUCUGAUACAUUGAGAAGGGUCCAACUUCAUUUCCAUGGUAUUCUUACCAAAAUGCAUAACCUGAAUGUAAUCAUGAGGAGGAAAAGAGCAGACAGAUCAAAAUUGAGGGACAUUUUAUCGUUAAGUUCAUGAAAGACAUGAACUCUUCCACACUAAAAGAGACUAAGGAGACCUGACAGUGAAAUGCAAUGUGAAAUCUUAGAGUCUUGGCCAGAAAAAGAACAUCAAUGGGACAACUGGGCCCGUUUAUCACAUUCAAACAAGGAAACAGACGGCAUAAAUCACCGGCAGACGGAAACCCAUGAGGGGACUGUUGUCUGAGGAUGAGGCCCAAGUGAGACGAACAUUGGUUCCAGAUCAGCUGAGUUGGGAGGAGCCGCCCUGGAAGUUCCAAGGAAUGGUGGGAAAUCGGAAGACAGCUGCUGCUAAAAAUACCCUGUGCUUGUUAGUAGCACCUUGUGGAGGUUCCAUGAGCCAAAACCUACAGGCUUUAUUUGUAGGAUUGAAGAAAAUUCUAGGAUCUUUUAAAAGGACUUGAAACAGGUGAAUUUGAAGGUCACAAUGCCAAUACCUUUCAUUCAUUGGUGUUAAGUGGGCACCCAUAUGCAAAUUUGUCUGCCCAAGAACCUGUCCUUCCAAAGCUGACCACACCUAAAGAAGUGCCGGGAUACUUCCAAAAUGAAAUCAGAAAUGCAUCGAAAAAAUUGGGCAGCAGAGAUGAAAAGCAGAAUAAUUAUACCCAUAAUGUGCCUCACCAGAAGACUCUCUGAAAGGAGCACAUUAAGCAAGCAAUUUAAGGAGUGGUUAUUUGCUUACCAAGUACUUUUGCUUUAGAAAGAAUUAAUUGAAGGGUUCUUCUGACCCAAAAGAGCCAACAAACAUUUGUGUGUUUAUAGACAGUUAACUAUUUGACAGAGGAGCGAUGAUGGAGCCGAGAAAUUUAAAGGUGGCUAGAGUCUUUGUCUAAAAAAUCAUCACCAAGAAAUAUCAAUAAAACACCGAAUUUGUACAAAAA